rnacentral:rRNA from 1 species
GAUGAACGCUGGCGGCGUGCUUAACACAUGCGAGUCGAACGAUGAACCGGGUGCUUGCACUCGGGGAUUAGUGGCGAACGGGUGAGUAACACGUGAGCAACCUGCCCCUGACUCUGGGAUAAGCGCUGGAAACGGCGUCUAAUACUGGAUAUGUCCCGUCACCGCAUGGUGUGCGGGUGGAAAGAUUUUUCGGUUGGGGAUGGGCUCGCGGCCUAUCAGCUUGUUGGUGAGGUAAUGGCUAACAAAGGCGUCGACGGGUAGCCAGCCUGAGAGGGUGACCGGCCACACUGGGACUGAGACACGGCCCAGACUCCUACGGGAGGCAGCAGUGGGGAAUAUUGCACAAUGGGCGGAAGCCUGAUGCAGCAACGCCGCGUGAGGGAUGACGGCCUUCGGGUUGUAAACCUCUUUUAGCAGGGAAGAAGCGAGAGUGACGGUACCUGCAGAAAAAGCACCGGCUAACUACGUGCCAGCCGCCGCAGUAA